ACUCCUACGGGGAGGCAGCAGUGGGGGAAUCUUGCGCAAAUGGGGCGAAAGCCUGACGCAGCCAUGCCGCGUGAAUGAUGAAGGUCUUAGGAUUGUAAAAAUUCUUUCACCGGGGACGAUAAUGACGGUACCCGGAGAAGAAAGCCCCCGGGCUAAACUUCGUGCCCAUGCAUGCCGCGGUAAAUACGAAGGGGGCUAGCGUUGCUCGGAAUUACUGGGCGUAAAGGGAGCGUA
rnacentral:rRNA from 1 species